rnacentral:rRNA from 1 species
UACGUAGGGACCAAGCGUUGUUCGGAUUUACUGGGCGUAAAGGGCGCGUAGGCGGCAUGACAAGUCACUUGUGAAAUCUCCGGGCUUAACUCGGAACGGUCAAGUGAUACUGUCGCGCUAGAGUGCGGAAGGGGCAAUCAGAAUUCUUGGUGUAGCGGUGAAAUGCGUAGAUAUCAAGAGGAAUACCUGAGGUGAAGACGGGUUGCUAGGCCGACA